GCCUGAGUGGCUCAGUUGGUUGAGCGUCCGACUUCGGCUCAGGUCAUGAUCUUGCGGCCAGUGGGUUCGAGCCCUGCAUCAGGCU
rnacentral:tRNA from 1 species